ACCUCCGUGGCAGAGUGGGUAUUACACUAGGCUUGCACGCAGGAGGUCCGGGUUCGAUUCCCGGCGGGGCCG
rfam:Asian citrus Psyllid, Diaphorina citri - Florida Strain, whole genome shotgun sequence.